GACGAACGCUGGCGGCGUGCCUAAUACAUGCAAGUAGGACGCAGUUGCGAACGGGUGAGUAACGCGUAGGUAACUACCUAUUAUAGGGGGAUAACUAUUGGAAACGAUAGCUAAUAUCGUAUAAUAGAAGCUGGACCUACGUUUUAUUAGCUCGUAUGUAGGGUUAUGGCCUACCUAGGCAACGUUUCAUAGCCGACCGUGGAGGGUGGUCGGCCACACUGGGAACGGGCCACGGGCCCGACUCCUACGGGAGGGAGCAGUAGGGGAUCUUCUGCAAUUGGGCGAACCCUGACCGAGCAACGCCGCGUGCGUGAAGAAGGUUUUCGGUUCGUUAAGCUCUGUUUAUAAGGAAGCGGUACUUAACCAGAAAGGGACGGCUAACUACGUGCCAGUAGCCGCGGUAAUUC
rnacentral:rRNA from 1 species